rnacentral:rRNA from 1 species
CCAAUAGCGUAUAUUAAAGUUGCUGCAGUUAAAAAGCUCGUAGUUGAAUUUCGGGACUAAUAUGUUGGUCGUGCCUCGGUACGUACUGGUAUUUUUGGUUUCUCCCUUCUGACGCACCUUGAUGUCAUUAAUUGGGUGUCUUGGGAAAUCAGGACUGUUACUUUGAAAAAAUUAGAGUGUUUAAAGCAGGCUCACGCUUGAAUACAUUAGAAUGGAAUAAUGAAAUAGGACGUUUGAUUCUAUUUUGUUGGUUUCUAGGAUCGACGUAAUGAUUAAUAGUGAUAGUUGGGGGCAUUAGUAUUCAAUUGUCAGAGGUGGAAUUCUUGGAUUUAUUUAAGACUAACUACUGCGAAAGCAUUUGCCAAGGAUGUUUUCAUUAAUCAAGAACGAAAGUUAGGGGAUCGAAGACGAUCAGAUACCGUCGUAGUCUUAACCAUAAACUAUGCCGACUAGGGAUCGGAUGAUGUUAAUUUUUUAAUGACUCAUUCGGCGCCUUACG